rnacentral:rRNA from 1 species
UUCCUGUCCAACGUUAAUCGGGGCAGGGUGAGUCGACCCCUAAGGCGAGGCCGAAAGGCGUAGUCGAUGGGAAACGGGUUAAUAUUCCCGUACUUGGUGUUACUGCGAAGGGGGGACGGAGAAGGCUAUGUUGGCCGGGCGACGGUUGUCCCGGUUUAAGCGUGUAGGUGUGUGUUCCAGGUAAAUCCGGUUCACUUUAACACUGAGGCGUGACGACGAGGCACUACGGUGCUGAAGCAACAAAUGCCCUGCUUCCAGGAAAAGCCUCUAAGCAUCAGGUAACAUCAAAUCGUACCCCAAACCGACACAGGUGGUCAGGUAGAGAAUACCAAGGCGCUUGAGAGAACUCGGGUGAAGGAACUAGGCAAAAUGGUGCCGUAACUUCGGGAGAAGGCACGCUGACACGUAGGUGAAGUGAUUUACUCACGGAGCUGAAGUCAGUCGAAGAUACCAGCUGGCUGCAACUGUUUAUUAAAAACACAGCACUGUGCAAACACGAAAGUGGACGUAUACGGUGUGACGCCUGCCCGGUGCCGGAAGGUUAAUUGAUGGGGUCAGCGCAAGCGAAGCUCCUGAUCGAAGCCCCGGUAAACGGCGGCCGUAACUAUAACGGUCCUAAGGUAGCGAAAUUCCUUGUCGGGUAAGUUCCGACCUGCACGAAUGGCGUAAUGAUGGCCAGGCUGUCUCCACCCGAGACUCAGUGAAAUUGAACUCGCUGUGAAGAUGCAGUGUACCCGCGGCAAGACGGAAAGACCCCGUGAACCUUUACUAUAGCUUGACACUGAACAUUGAGCCUUGAUGUGUAGGAUAGGUGGGAGGCUUUGAAGCGUGGACGCCAGUCUGCGUGGAGCCGACCUUGAAAUACCACCCUUUAAUGUUUGAUGUUCUAACGUGGACCCGUGAUCCGGGUUGCGGACAGUGUCUGGUGGGUAGUUUGACUGGGGCGGUCUCCUCCUAAAGAGUAACGGAGGAGCACGAAGGUUGGCUAAUCCUGGUCGGACAUCAGGAGGUUAGUGCAAUGGCAUAAGCCAGCUUGACUGCGAGCGUGACGGCGCGAGCAGGUGCGAAAGCAGGUCAUAGUGAUCCGGUGGUUCUGAAUGGAAGGGCCAUCGCUCAACGGAUAAAAGGUACUCCGGGGAUAACAGGCUGAUACCGCCCAAGAGUUCAUAUCGACGGCGGUGUUUGGCACCUCGAUGUCGGCUCAUCACAUCCUGGGGCUGAAGUAGGUCCCAAGGGUAUGGCUGUUCGCCAUUUAAAGUGGUACGCGAGCUGGGUUUAGAACGUCGUGAGACAGUUCGGUCCCUAUCUGCCGUGGGCGCUGGAGAACUGAGGGGGGCUGCUCCUAGUACGAGAGGACCGGAGUGGACGCAUCACUGGUGUUCGGGUUGUCAUGCCAAUGGCACUGCCCGGUAGCUAAAUGCGGAAGAGAUAAGUGCUGAAAGCAUCUAAGCACGAAACUUGCCCCGAG